GAUGAACGCUGGCGGCGUGCCUAAUACAUGCAAGUCGAGCGAAUGGAUUAAGAGCUUGCUCUUAUGAAGUUAGCGGCGGACGGGUGAGUAACACGUGGGUAACCUGCCCAUAAGACUGGGAUAACUCCGGGAAACCGGGGCUAAUACCGGAUAACAUUUUGAACCGCAUGGUUCGAAAUUGAAAGGCGGCUUCGGCUGUCACUUAUGGAUGGACCCGCGUCGCAUUAGCUAGUUGGUGAGGUAACGGCUCACCAAGGCAACGAUGCGUAGCCGCCCUGAGGGGGUGAGCGGCCACCCUGGGACUGAGACACGGCCCAGACUCCUACGGGAGGCAGCAGUAGGGAAUCUUCCGCAAUGGACGAAAGUCUGACGGAGCAACGCCGCGUGAGUGAUGAAGGCUUUCGGGUCGUAAAACUCUGUUGUUAGGGAAGAACAAGUGCUAGUUGAAUAAGCUGGCACCUUGACGGUACCUAACCAGAAAGCCACGGCUAACUACGUGCCAGCAGCCGCCGUAA
rnacentral:rRNA from 1 species